rnacentral:rRNA from 1 species
AUUGAACGCUGGCGGCAUGCCUUACACAUGCAAGUCGAACGGUAACGGGCCUUCGGGUGCCGACGAGUGGCGAACGGGUGAGUAAUGUAUCGGAACGUACCUUUCAGUGGGGGAUAACGUAGCGAAAGUUACGCUAAUACCGCAUAUUCUGUGAGCAGGAAAGCAGGGGAUCGCAAGACCUUGCGCUGAUUGAGCGGCCGAUAUCAGAUUAGCUAGUUGGUGAGGUAAAGGCUCACCAAGGCGACGAUCUGUAGCGGGUCUGAGAGGAUGAUCCGCCACACUGGAACUGAGACACGGUCCAGACUCCUACGGGAGGCAGCAGUGGGGAAUUUUGGACAAUGGGGGCAACCCUGAUCCAGCCAUGCCGCGUGAGUGAAGAAGGCCUUCGGGUUGGUAAAGG